UGGCGUAUGCCGGUAGUUUUGAAUGUUAUGAAUAGUAAACAAUUAUUUUUAGUGUGUUUAUUUUCAUGUCGUAAUUGGAAUGGUUGUUGUCACACAUGUUUAUAAAAAUAGGUUAAAAUGAGUGUUGUGUUUCAAGACAACAUCGGUUGGGUUUUAUCUCACGACAUGUUCGUGAAAAGUAUUUAUGGUGAAGUCUAUGACAAUAACGUUACGUGUAGGUUAGAGUUCGACCCAGCACUGUUUAAGAUUGAAACUCCAUUUAUAAAUAAAGCACCUAUCGACUCAGAUAAUUCGUUGGGCUCAGAUAAUUCCGGUAAUUUGUGGUUUUCACCCAAGAAGAAAAGAAGAACUAACAGAAACGGCGCCGAAAGUACGAAUAACAGUGCAGAGCAAGUAGUUAAUCUUGUGGCAAACAAAUCAUCAGUUUUACUUAACAAUGCAAAGAAACAGGGUGUGUUCAAUUGUGAGCCAUCAUCAUCAGAUACCUUAAGAAGAAACGAAGAUGCUAGAAACCUAUCAGUUAUAUUUUACAAAGAAAACUCUGAUGAACAAAAUAAGACAUUUCAUGGAGCCAACAAUCAGGAGUUUCCCAUAAUAGUGUCACAUGGAGAGAAAAAGUAUGUUUUCCCACCAAGGUGUAUGUUCUUUAAUAAUGAUAUAAGCAACUUGAACCAGAAAUUGGAUGUCCUUGGGAAGUUCGAUCUGCUGCUCUUGGAUCCACCUUGGUGGAAUAAAUAUAUACGAAGGAAGAAACAAAAGUCUCGUGAAUCAAGUUACAGUAUGAUGUAUGAUGAGGACCUGUUAAAAUUGCCAGUUGCAUCCUUAAUAGCUCCUGGUGCACUUGUUGCAGUAUGGUGCACAAAUUCUGAAACACACAUAAAUACAAUGAAAAAUAAAAUAUUUCCUUCUUGGGGAAUUGAGUGUGUCAGCAAAUGGUACUGGCUGAAGGUCACUCGGAGUGGUAUACCAGUUUGCAAUUUCUCUGAACCUCCUAAUAAGCAGCCAUUUGAGCAAAUACUCUUUGCACAUCAACUGUGUACACCAAGAAGUUUUCCAUUACCAGAAGAUGGAAAAAUAGUUAUUAGCGUCCCAAGUGCUAUUCAUUCACACAAACCUCCUCUGACAGAUGCUUAAAAGCAAACGUGGAGCCAGUGCACAGGCCGUUUAUAGUCCACAAGUGUACUGGUCCUACUUGCUGAAGUUCGUGGACCAGGCCACAGUGGUAGAUGAAAGUGUCUCUAAUUUAGAGGACAUGGAAAGUGGCAGUGAACAUGGAAACCCACAUUUGAAGAAAUUUUUGAGCAUGAAGUAGAGGCACAGUAUUCAUCACAAGAAGAGACUGAUGUCACCUGCAGUGAGCCACAGCCCCAGCAGCAUGAACGGCCUUCCACAAAGAGAAGAAAAGUGACAACAGACAAUCUUUUGGAGGCCACCAAAAUGUUGAAGCCUGUAACUGAUAUGAGCAAAAACCAGUCCCAGCCUGCCCGGUCCGCCUGCGGGUCCGGGGGUAAGAACAGGCCAGAGGUAUUCCUGACUGUCGUAGGAGGCGACUAAAAGGAGUCCCACACGU